UCUUUUCAUAGCUUGCAUAGCUUCUACUGAUCACAUAUAUUGUAUUUUUUUGUAGGGUGACAUGACGAAAAAUCAACCGGGUCAAGGAGUCUGUUGAUCGUUUGAACAUUUCAUGAAACUACUAAGGCAAAUAUUUUAGAUUCGGAAAUCAAAGAAGCAACACAGGGCUGAUGCGUUCUAAACCAAAAGUUUCUAAAGUAAUAUGGAAAAGAUCAAAAGCUGCUAACAUCGCUGCUGCUGCGAUGCCUUCGUCCUUUCAUCUGCACUGUUCCUUUGAAUCUUGCCUUAGUAGCUCUCGUGAAUUUUUCCAUAUGAUUAACUACUUGACCCGGUUGAUGGCAGUCGUGGAGUCCUUAUAUUACAUUUCAAAGGAAGACAAGGAUACUAUUAUAUUAUGGUAUUGGCUCUCCCAUUCACUCUCCUUUGUGAUUUUCUACUAUUAAUAUCAUUAAUGGUAGAUCCAUUUUUUGGCCAUGGUUUAUGGAUAUGCUUCAGACGAGAUUUAUGGGAUAUAUGGAACACUUCAUGGCAAGCGUGAGUAUCCACUACACAUCCUUGGGGAGUUCCUGCAAAAGGUUAUGUGCAUGGAAAUGUUAAGCCAGAAAAUUUCUUACUCGUCUUACAAAGUUAGCGAUUCAUUUCCAUUCAAGUGGAUAAACAAGAAGUGGAGAGAAGGCUUUCAUGUAACCUCAAUGGCAACAGCUGGAAGCAGAUGGGGGUGUUGUUAUGUCCCGCAACUCUGGCUACAGUGAGCAGGUGGUUGAACUGGAUUUUCUGUAUCCGAGUGAAGGCGUCCACAGGCGUUGGGAUGGCGGAUUCAGAAUUACAUCAACAGCAGCAACAACUGAUCAAGCUGCUCUGAUUCUAAGCAUCCCACGGCGUAGACUGGUGGAUAAGACACAAGAGACAUUGCGUACCUCUCAGUUCCCAAGCACACAUGUCAAGGAAAAAUGGGGGAAAAAUAUCUACCUUGCAUCGCUAAAAUUGUGGAAGAACGAGAGAGAGAAAGAUGUUUCUAAAUUUCUAUUUGUACUCUUGUUGUGUCUUAUUUCCAGUUGAAUUGUGAAGGAAAGCGGUGAUUAAUCACCAAUUUAUCUGCACAUUCCCUCUUAAAUUGAUAUUUAAUUGCAUAUCAAAAGAAAUAUAUUUUUUCAUAUCAUUAGACCAUGA